GGUAAACGCUGGCGGCGUGCCUAAAACAUGCAAGUCGAACGCACCGUCUUCGGAUGGUGAGUGGCAGACGGCUGAGUAACGCGUGGGUGACGUACCUAUCGGUGGGGAAUAACUGCCCGAAAGGGUGGCUAAUACCGCAUACGCCCGUUGAUGCAUUUUGACGGGGAAAGCUUCGCGAGAGGCGCUGAUGGAGCGGCCCGCGUCCGAUUAGCUGGUUGGUGGGGUAACGCCUACCAAGGCGACGAUCGGUAGCUGGUCUCAGAGGAUGAUCAGCCAGACUGGGACUGAGACACGGCCCAGACUCCUACGGGAGGCAGCAGUUAGGAAUUUUGGGCAAUGGGCGCAAGCCUGACCCAGCAACGCCG
rnacentral:rRNA from 1 species